rnacentral:rRNA from 1 species
UACAGAGGGUGCAAGCGUUGUUCGGAAUUAUUGGGCGUAAAGCGUGCGUAGGCGGACGACUAAGUCUGAUGUGAAAUCCCUUGGCUUAACCGAGGAGCUGCAUUGGAUACUGGUUGUCUUGAGUCUUGGAGAGGAUAGCGGAAUUCCCAGUGUAGAGGUGAAAUUCGUAGAUAUUGGGAGGAACACCAGUGGCGCAAGCGGCUAUCUGGACAAUGACUGACGCUGAGGCACGAAAGCAUAGGGAGCAAACAGGAUUAGAUACCCUGGUAGUCUAUGCCGUAAACGAUGGGUACUAGUUGGUGCGAAUGUUGACCUUUGCACUGACGAAGCUAACGCAUUAAGUACCCCGCCUGGGGAGUACGGCCGCAAGGCUA